rnacentral:rRNA from 1 species
UACAUGUGGGGCAAGCGUUGUUCGGAAUUACUGGGCAUAAAGAGCGUGUAGGCGGCCAUACAGGUCCGUUGUGAAAACUGGAGGCUUAACCUCCAGACGUCGAUGGAAACCGUAUGGCUAGAGUCCGGAAGAGGAGAGUGGAAUUCCUGGUGUAGCGGUGAAAUGCGCAGAUAUCAGGAAGAACACCCGUGGCGAAGGCGGCUCUCUGGGACGGUACUGACGCUGAGACGCGAAAGCGUGGGGAGCGAACAGG